rnacentral:rRNA from 1 species
CAACCUACCUAUCAGAGGGGAAUAACCCGGCGAAAGUCGGACUAAUACCGCAUAAAACAGGGGCACCGCAUGGUGAUAUUUGUUAAAGAAAUUCGCUGAUAGAUGGGCAUGCGUUCCAUUAGGUAGUUGGUGAGGUAACGGCUCACCAAGCCGACGAUGGAUAGGGGAACUGAGAGGUUGGUCCCCCACACUGGUACUGAGACACGGACCAGACUCCUACGGGAGGCAGCAGUGAGGAAUAUUGGUCAAUGGGCGAGAGCCUGAACCAGCCAAGUCGCGUGAAGGAAGAAGGAUCUAUGGUUCGUAAACUUCUUUUGCAGGGGAAUAAAGUGCAGGACGUGUCCUGUUUUGUAUGUACCCUGAGAAUGAGGAUCGGCUAACUCCGUGCCAGCAGCCGCGGUAAUACGGAGGAUCCGAGCGUUAUCCGGAUUUAUUGGGUUUAAAGGGUGCGUAGGUGGUUUGAUAAGUCAGCGGUGAAAGUUUGCAGCUUAACUGUAAAAAUGCCGUUGAAACUGUCGGACUUGAGUGUAAAUGAGGUAGGCGGAAUGCGUGGUGUAGCGGUGAAAUGCAUAGAUAUCACGAAGAACUCCGAUU